UACGGAGGGUGCAAGCGUUGUUCGGAAUUAUUGGGCGUAAAGCGCGUGUAGGUGGUCGGGUAAGUCAGAUGUGAAAGCCUUCUGCUUAACAGAAGAAGUGCAUUUGAAACUGCUCGGCUGGAGUACGGGAGAGGAGAGUGGAAUUCCCGGUGUAGAGGUGAAAUUCGUAGAUAUCGGGAGGAACACCAGUGGCGAAGGCGGCUCUCUGGUCCGAUACUGACGCUGAGACGCGAAAGCGUGGGGAGCAAACAGGAUUAGAUACCCUGGUAGUCCACGCCGUAAACGAUGGGCACUAGGUGUAGGAGGUAUUGACCCCUUCUGUGCCGAAGCUAACGCAUUAAGUGCCCCGCCUGGGGAGUACGGCCGCAAGGCUAAA
rnacentral:rRNA from 1 species